rnacentral:rRNA from 1 species
UGUCUCAUAAAUCGGGACUUGUAUGAAUGGCUAAACGAGGUCUUAACUGUCUCUUGCGGGCAAUCGGUGAAAUUGAUCUCCCUGUGCAAAAGCAGGGAUAACCACAUAAGACGAGAAGACCCUGUGGAACUUAAAAAUCAGCAGCCACCCUAAACCACAUACACACCCACUGGGUUUACGCACUUAAAAGGAACUGGCCUGCAUUUUUCGGUUGGGGCGACCUUGGAGAAAAACAAAUCCUCCAAAAAUUGGACCAUAACUCUAGACCAAGAGCAACCACUCAACGUGCUAAUAGCAUCCAGACCCAAUAUAAUUGAUCAAUGGACCAAGCUACCCCAGGGAUAACAGCGCAAUCUCCUCCAAGAGUCCAUAUCGACGAGGAGGUUUACGACCUCGAUGUUGGAUCAGGACAUCCUAGUGGUGCAGCAGCUACUAAGGGUUCGUUUGUUCAACGAUUAAAGU